rnacentral:rRNA from 1 species
UUAUGUACAUUCCUACGACGUUAAUGCAACAAAUCCCAUUAGAAAUCCAUAGUUAAGUGUGCUUGGGAUAGAGUAGUACUAGGAUGGGUGACCUCCUAAGAAGGUCCUAGUGUUUACAUGCC